UCCGGCUGCUCGCCAGGAGUCGGUUCUCGUAGGACGGACAGCAGAAGGAGGCGGCGGCAGCGGCAGCGGCGGUCUGGGAGCCGCCUGUCCCGUCAGAGACCGACCUGGAAAUCGAAUCGCAGCAAGUCGUACUGGGGUUUGCCGACACGAAAAACUGCAUGAAGAGAACCGUGGAUAGAAAUGGUCAUUGGCUGUGUCUGCUCUUAUCUGGAUGAUGACUAUGCUAACUCUGAAGUGACGGCACUGCAUAUAGAAGUCGAAGUUUAGUUGAUCAAUCGAAUGCUUAGUCUGAAUGUUAAACCCGAAGAAAGAACGUGUGAGCAUGUUUCGUUUGUUUUUGUUCACAUCGGUUCACUUUCAUCAAUCACGUGUUUUUAUCCUCGCGAGUGACCUGCCUUUAUUAAAGCACGUCCUCAAGCUGUUGGCACACUGGUUCUGAGGGUUUCCUACAGGAAGGAGAGGUCCAUGUUCCGACCACUGGCUGAUAGAGGGAGCCCGAUAAACCCCAAAACAAGUGCUAAACUGCCAGCUGACAUGAAGCAGAUGUCCUCCUGACCCCCUUUUCUUUGGGAAGUGAAAGUCACUAUGAGACAAAUACCAGGGGGCUUGAAUGUAGCAACACCCUUCUACUACAGAGAUGGUGUGAUGUGAUCCUCCAGACUUCAUGAGCUGCAGAAACUGUUAUGAUAACAUUCAAGCCUUGGUGUGACACGGCAAGCCUUCUGAACACAUUAUCAAAACCCAUGUUUCUUGUGACUUCUGUGACAAAUGUUUUGUUUUUCUCAUUCAGGUUACUUUUUAAUGCAUCUCAAAAUGUUCUCUUCUACAAGACAGACCUGGACAAGCAAUGCAAAAUUGCAAACACAUUAAGAGCAACAACAACAACAAAAUAUGGGGGGCGCUGGUGGCGCAAUGGUUAUUGCAGGUGCCCCAUGUAUGGAGGCUGUAGUCCUCUAAGCGGGCGGCCCUGGUUCGAAACCAACCUGUGGCUCAUUCUCCACUCUCUCUCCUUGAUUUCAGACUAUUCACUGUCCUAUCUCUACAAUAAAGGCAUAAAAAGGCCAAAAGAAAA